AGCGAACGCUGGCGGCAGGCCUAACACAUGCAAGUCGAACGGACCCUUCGGGGUUAGUGGCGGACGGGUGAGUAACACGUGGGAACGUGCCUUUAGGUUCGGAAUAACUCAGGGAAACUUGUGCUAAUACCGAAUGUGCCCUUCGGGGGAAAGAUUUAUCGCCUUUAGAGCGGCCCGCGUCUGAUUAGCUAGUUGGUGGGGUAAUGGCCCACCAAGGCUACGAUCAGUAGCUGGUCUGAGAGGAUGACCAGCCACAUUGGGACUGAGACACGGCCCAAGCUCCUACGGGAGGCAGCAGUGGGGAAUCUUGCGCAAUGGGCGAAAGCCUGACGCAGCCAUGCCGCGUGGAUGAUGAAGGUCUUAGGAUUGUAAAAUCCUUUCACCGGUGAAGAUAAUGACUGUAGCCGGAGAAGAAGCCCCGGCUAACUUCGUGCCAGCAGCCGCCGUAAUAC
rnacentral:rRNA from 1 species